GAUGAACGCUAGCGGCAGGCUUAACACAUGCAAGUCGAGGGGUAUAGGCUUUCGGGCCUAGAGACCGGCGCACGGGUGCGUAACGCGUAUGCAAUCUACCUUUUACAGAGGGAUAGCCCAGAGAAAUUUGGAUUAAUACCUCAUAGUAUUAUGAAAUGGCAUCAUUUUAUAAUUAAAGUUCCAACGGUAAAAGAUGAGCAUGCGUCCCAUUAGCUAGUUGGUGUGGUAACGGCACACCAAGGCAAUGAUGGGUAGGGGUCCUGAGAGGGAGAUCCCCCACACUGGUACUGAGACACGGACCAGACUCCUACGGGAGGCAGCAGUGAGGAAUAUUGGACAAUGGGCGCAAGCCUGAUCCAGCCAUGCCGCGUGCAGGAUGACGGUCCUAUGGAUUGUAAACUGCUUUUAUACGGGAAGAAACCCUGGCUCGUGAGCCGGAUUGACGGUACCGUAGGAAUAAGGAUCGGCUAACUCCGUGCCAGCAGCCGCGGUAAUACGGAGGAUCCAAGCGUUAUCCGGAAUCAUUGGGUUUAAAGGGUCCGUAGGCGGUUUUAUAAGUCAGUGGUGAAAUCCGGUAGCUCAACUAUCGAACUGCCAUUGAUACUGUAGAACUUGAAUUGCUGUGAAGUAACUAGAAUAUGUAGUGUAGCGGUGAAAUGCUUAGAUAUUACAUGGAAUACCAAUUGCGAAGGCAGGUUACUAACAUCAUAUUGACGCCGAUGGACGAAAGCGUGGGGAGCGAACAGGAUUAGAUACCCUGGUAGUCCACGCCGUAAACGAUGGAUACUAGCUGUUUGGUAGCAAUACUGAGUGGCUAAGCGAAAGUGAUAAGUAUCCCACCUGGGGAGUACGAACGCAAGUUUGAAACUCAAAGGAAUUGACGGGGGCCCGCACAAGCGGUGGAGCAUGUGGUUUAAUUCGAUGAUACGCGAGGAACCUUACCAGGGCUUAAAUGUAGAUUGACAGACUUGGAAACAGGUUUUUCUUCGGACAAUUUACAAGGUGCUGCAUGGUUGUCGUCAGCUCGUGCCGUGAGGUGUCAGGUUAAGUCCUAUAACGAGCGCAACCCCUGUCGUUAGUUGCCAGCGAGUCAUGUCGGGAACUCUAACGAGACUGCCGGUGCAAACCGUGAGGAAGGUGGGGAUGACGUCAAAUCAUCACGGCCCUUACGUCCUGGGCUACACACGUGCUACAAUGGCCGGUACAGAGAGCAGCCACUGGGCGACCAGGAGCGAAUCUACAAAACCGGUCACAGUUCGGAUCGGAGUCUGCAACCCGACUCCGUGAAGCUGGAAUCGCUAGUAAUCGGAUAUCAGCCAUGAUCCGGUGAAUACGUUCCCGGGCCU
rnacentral:rRNA from 1 species